UGGGGGCUUUGGGGGUGUUUGGAGGUCCUGGAGGCAAUCAGGAGUCCUAGGGGGGGUUGGAUGACCCAGGGUCCAAGGAGGGUUCAGGAGCCCUGGGGACCCCACAGUCAUCCCCCCACCUUUCCUUGCAGCAGCCAGGAAGCCCCAGGACAGGGCCCCCCCGGAGCCUUCAGGCCCCUGGCAAAAGGGGGAGGUGCUGUACACCCACAUUGUAGGCACUGGGCGGGCAGGGGGAUCCCCCUGCACCACCCCACCCCAGGACCUCCAGGUGACCUAUGCAGAGCUUCCAGGAGCCCACACACGGCCGUGGGAACCCAGUGACAUCAGGGACAACAAGAUGUGAUUCUGGGGCCACUAAAGGGGCAUUGGGGGCACUGGAUCCCCCAUUCCCCCUCAGCUUCAGUGGUUUCCCAACCUGUCUGGGAAGGUGGUCACAAGUUGGGGGAGGGGAGCUGCAUAGGGUGGCCAGUGCUUCCCCUUCCUCCUUC